rnacentral:pre_miRNA from 1 species
UCUUAUGGAUGAGCAAGGAAAGUGGUUUCCUGAGAUGCAAUCUACUCCUGGUAAAGAUGCUGUGAA